CGCUUUACAAGAAUCUGUUUAGUUGGGAUUUCCCCUAGAUUUUGUUAUUUUGAUCAUUCUCAGAUUUGACCUAUGGAUUUGACGUGUUGAUGUUAUAAGGUAACCUCCAGCAUACCAUAGUGUCAUAUACAAGAAACACUAGGAAGUUGAUCAUGAAUCUCAUUGAUGAACAGCAGAAAGCCUUGGAAUUUCUCUCAAGUCAGAUAAUCAAGCUCAUGGCCAAAGUAAACACACUUAGUUCACAUGUGCAGAGAAGCUACAGUGACAUCUUUUCCAUGAAGCACAUGGAGUCCCACGGGAGAGACCGUAGUGACAUCCAAGAGACACUAGGUGUCGUGUCUACAAAAAUCCCUAGUGGAAUUUAUAUAAUUCAGCCAGAAAACACAGAUGUUUCCUUUGAGGAAAGUACCUUCUUUUAGUUUUGUUUAAACAUUUCCAACCAGUUAUUUUAAUUUAAAAGCCAAUCAAACAUUCAGCAUCUUAAACUGGCCAUCUAACAGGUGUUCUGUGCGAUGGAUUACAUGGAGGGUGGAUGGACACUAAUACAGAGAUGGACGGAUGGUCUCACUGACUUCAAAUGAAUGUGGUCACAAUACUUGGAUGGAUUUGGACACUUACCGGGUAAACACUGGUUGGGUAUGAGAAAAAUCUUCAAUAUUGUGAAUCAGAGAAACACACGUUUCCAGCUGCACGUGUCUCUGGUCUCACAAGAUGACACCACCGCCCUAUGCUUCAUAUGACAAUUUCUGGCUUGAAGAUGAAACCAAAUUCUUUGCAAUACACCUUGGCAGAUAUGCUUUUUUUUGCAGGUGAUGCUUUUUGAGGGUAUGACCAAGAGCAGAAUCAAGACACAGUCCCUUUCAGUACCUUUGAUGUUGACAAUGAUGAUUGUUCUCCAUUCUGCAAUUUUGCUGAUAAAGCUGUUGACAGCUGCAGUGUGAACCAAAACAACACAGGAUGGUGGUUUAACCAGUGUGGCAUGACAAAUUUGAAUGGCUCACCAUCAGACCAAGAUCUCUCCACGCAGUCAAAUAUUCAUUGGGACACCUGGACCCAAAAUGGCACGCUUGUCAAAAUCAAAUCAGUGACUAUGAAGAUCAGAAUAGUUGAGAUUUCAAAUUCAAAAUAAAUCCCUGAAGCUUCUGAAGAUUUUGUAUUAAAAUGGAACAAUUUGGAAUCAUUAAAAACGUGCACUUCUGCCUUGUGAGAUUUACUAAAACAGCAAGUUGUAGGAAUACAGUUUUUGGCAUUGUAAUUAAGUUAACCAUGUUUUUUGUAAAUCCUGAGUCACAGGCCAAAAUAUUCAUACUAAUCGAAUCAUUGUUAUGAAUCAUGGGAAUUGAGUCAUUACGCAUAAGUUUUUUUACAUUUAUUUUUUUAACAUGGAACUACAAUAGAUUAAACCAAAUAAUCCAGUCUGGAAGAAACCGUCAAACAGUCAGCACUGGAAAUUACAUGAGAUUUUAUUCAAAUAAAAGCUUGUUUCCAUCAAAUAAAUAAAGAAGGUAAUUGUUAGGUAAAGUAAAGUUCCUAAAAUACUUUCGGUCUUUGAUUUUUAAUUCUUUGGUCUACAGUGGCAUGACCAAAUGGGUGGCAUGAAGUGGCCCCAGACAGCCCUAAUAUGUAAUAGGCCACCCUAAGAUAGAGGUCCUUUUAUCAAAAGAAAUAACAUCAACAUGUAGAGCCACCAAGCCUAGAAGUAUUAGAGAUCAUCAGAGGACACACAUUUGUCCAUAAAUCCAUAAAAUGUGGACAAAGUUGUUAUAUUUUAAGCAAAAAUAAAUAAGAAGUAAUUUUAGACAACAUUAGAAAAAGUUGUCCCUUGCCAAACUUACUUGUGUGAGAAAUGAAAUAGAAAUAAAAAAUAAAAUUAACAACAAAACUAAAGCAACUGAAUAAUAACUGAAAUGAAACUAACAAAUCAUUUGAAAUUUAAAUAAAAACAUAAACUACAUUAAAAACCCAAAAUUAUAUCUUGAUUAAUAGACGCAAUUCCAAGAUCCAGUCACGCUGUGACAUAUAAAGUCAGUUUGGGAGAGUGAAAGUCUGAAUUACAGAAACAAAGUUAGAUGCUGGAUAUAAAUUCACAUGGUUGGAUAUAUAGUAGAAACAGGCGUUUCUAAAAAAAUAUUUACAACCUCUCUCUUAGACGGCAUACAUUAAGAUUAAUAAAAAUGUUUUAAUAAUGUUCUGACAACAAAGAGUUUUAAGGUGACCAGGCACUUUGAAAUAAGAGUGAACAGCAGUGUCGCCAUUGAUGUGGGUGGCCUAUUGUUUGUCCUGAUUCAUCGGCAGGACAGAGAUAAUUAAUAUGCUUUAAAUAAGCUGCGUACUGUGUGGGCCACUAUUAGCAUCACUGUUCGUGGGUAAAUAUGUCAGUUGUUAUGUGUGUAUACGUUAAACCAUCUGUACUAUGUCUAUUUAGAGCAAAGAAUUCUGCCAAAUUUUAUCCUGCCAAAUACUAAACAAAAAUCCAGUUCUGCUGAAGCAUUUUGUAAGCAGGAACUUGCCCUGGGCCUAUGUGGGAGUCACCGUGAGAGAGUGCAGGGUAACCAGAUAACACCAAACACCAUGCUAUCAGCAUGAGAAUUUGGGUUUUAGUGCCCAAAAGGGAUGAUUAUUUUAAAAGAGACAUGGACAAUGGUAAUGUCCCAAACUUUUGCACUGCUAAGCAAUGGUCUACCAAUGGAGCCAUAGGAACACAUCCUGCACCUAAUUAUUAUUAUUUAAUUUUUUUUUUUUCUGGGGACAGUGCACUGGUCAGAGUUUUGCUUUACUUCUUGAUAUUAGCAGGAAAGGAAAAAAACAUAACUUGUAAGUGUAAUGUAUAUUGCUCUUAAAAUUAAUACAUUUUUAAAUGAGUUUAAAAUAAUUUUAACAUAUUUAUUAAAAAAAUUAUAUACAGAAAUGGACCUACAGAAAGUGAGACUUGAUUGGACUGUUUCAAUUUAGACACGUGAAUUGUUGAUUUUCCUUUUUUCUUUAACUAUUUAUAAUAUUAAUAUACACAAUGUAUUAAUACCUAAUUAAAGUUCAUUAAAAAAAUUUUGGUUGGUAAAACACUUUUAAUGUUUUUGAAAGAAAUCUUUAAAUUCUCAUCAAGGCUGCAUUUAUUUGAUGAAAACAGUAAAAUCAGUAAUAUUAUAUGCAAUCUUCAGUGUCACAAGAUCCUUAGAAAUAAUUUCGAAUUAGUAUCAGUGUUAAAAACGGUUGUGCUUUUAUAAUUUAGUUUUGAAUGAACAUGACUGCAUAACAUGACCGUAUUAAUACAUAUAUUUCAGCCACUUAGCAAACAAGGCAGGUACACUGAGUUUGCCAAUAAUAACAGAGAUCAUUUACAUAUAGAAUUCUUAAAGUUACAGUAGCAAAGAACAGCUAGCAUAACGCUUAGGAUCGGAGAGAGGGUGGGAAAUGGUCAUGUAAAAAUGAAUGACAACUGCUUUUGUGCAAUAACCUUGUGUUAUAAGUUGACUUCAGUGGGGAAGAUGCUACAAAAUAGAAGUGUAUAAAAUGGCCCUUUUCAGGUGAUUUACACACACAAACACACACACCCUCACACACACAUACAGUACUAUGAAAAAUUAAAACCACACACAAAAAAACCCAAAAACAUAUUGAGACAACCAUUUACUAGAGGAUAUAUUAUAUAAAGCUGCAGUAAA